rnacentral:lncRNA from 1 species
GACCGAAAAAUAUAUACUUUCUUAAACAAAACAAGCUUUGCUACGUCCACUCAAGCUGACGAUCAAACCUUGCUGGGCGAAUUCCCUACACCCAGAGUGCCCAUCACUCAUUAUGAUGUAAUUCCGUCCCCCUCUAACAUAGAGACUUUUCUAAUCUUAGUAACUAGCGGGUUACACUAGCGGGUGCACGGCUAGAUGUGCAUAAUGUAAUGUUUUGUGUUUUCGCUCUCUAAGAGAUACAUUUUGCAUUCAAUUUAUACCAAUUGUAUUUGGAACUGUUCAUUGAUUUUUUUUUUGAAAAAUUGUUUAUUUAUAUUUUUGACCUACCAAAAUAUAUCGUUAUUUAUUUGUUUUUGUUGAUAUAUGUUCGGAAUGAUAAGAUCGAAUGUUAUGAAUGCGCAUAUGAGCUUAGAAUCAUAAUACAAUCUAUUUUAGAUUAGAUACUCAUUACAUGUUUUACUGAGAGAGUUUUAUUUUAUUAACAUCGUGUGCGAUAGAAAAGUGUUGAACUUAUAUUGGAACAUAUGUGUUUUUAGUUUUGUUACAAUCUGCAUGUCAAAUUUUCAUUUUAGACAUAUUGAUUAUAAACGUUUAGAUUAUCGGUGGAUAAUGCAGUAUGCACUGAUUUUUAUCAACCCAAUUUAUGACAUGGAAAUCCUCCUUAUUUUGACAUAUUGUCUCUCGUAUUAUUUUUUUGCUUCUGACGGCCGAUAGCGAUAGAUGUUCGAGUUCAGGUGUCUAAUGUGCAAUCAUGGGUUUGGGUGCACUUUGCUUCUUACUUGGGUUUUCGUUGGAAGCGUGCUACCGCCGGCCUGCAGAUGUUGACGCAUGCAUGAAUUCGGCGACCGUGCAUAUGUUGAUAUAUGGAAGCUGAAUGUCUUAGCUAGUCAAGUUUUUUCAUCAGAUACACAUCGCAUCUAAGCCAUGUUGUUUCUUUUUUAUUUCAUUUUCAAGAUUUGUCCCCAUUCAGUAUCAAGUCAUUUUACUAAACGUCUCAUAUGAGGUAUGAUUGUCGCAUGGCAGAACGUCACCGGCAGUUGGAGUAGUUGGUUCUAACUUGUCUUUUUCGUUGUAGUCUUAAGGUCUCAAACAUAUGAUAAAUUUGCAUAAUUUUGAAUUCUCCUCUUUUUUUUCAUCAUUUUUUAAAUUGGUUCAUAGAUUCAAAAUACGGGUGUGUUUGCUUUCCACUUGGUUUCACGGCUACAACCUGAAAGCCGUGUACCGGCACCCGAUAUGGUCGAUCCGAAUACGGACGUUACGCCUGGCUAUGGAUAAUACAUUUUUUGCUUGUGUCCAAUGAGUUUCGUAUUUCAAAACAAAAAUAAUCCUAACCAUUAAAACCUGAAAUCAAU